rnacentral:rRNA from 1 species
UACGGGGGGGGCAAGCGUUGUUCGGAAUUACUGGGCGUAAAGGGCUCGUAGGCGGCCAACUAAGUCAGACGUGAAAUCCCUCGGCUUAACCGGGGAACUGCGUCUGAUACUGGAUGGCUCGAGUUUGGGAGAGGGAUGCGGAAUUCCUGGUGUAGCGGUGAAAUGCGCAGAUAUCAGGAAGAACACCCGUGGCGAAAGCGGCUCUCUGGAACGGUACUGACGCUGAGACGCGAAAGCGUGGGGAGCGAACAGG